GUGAGGAAUAUUGGUCAAUGGGCGAGAGCCUGAACCAGCCAAAUCGCGUGGAGGAUGAAGGUAUUAUGUAUUGUAAACUCCUUUUGUCAGGGAAUAAAGUGCGUCACGUGUGGCGUUUUGUAUGUACCUGAAGAAUAAGGAUCGGCUAACUCCGUGCCAGCAGCCGCGGUAAUACGGAGGAUCCAAGCGUUAUCCGGAUUUAUUGGGUUUAAAGGGUGCGUAGGCGGGCCUUUAAGUCAGCGGUGAAAGUUCGUGGCUCAACCACGGAAUUGCCGUUGAUACUACUGGCCUGAGUGUGGACGAGGUGUGCGGAAUUCGUGGUGUAGCGGUGAAAUGCUUAGAUAUCACGAAGAACACCGAUUGCGUAGGCAGCUCACCAGACCACAACUGACGCUGAGGCACGAAGGUGCGGGGAUCAAACAGGAUUAGAUACCCUAGUAGUCC
rnacentral:rRNA from 1 species